rnacentral:rRNA from 1 species
UGGGGAAUAUUGCACAAUGGGCGCAAGCCUGAUGAAGCCAUGCCGCGUGUAUGAAGAAGGCCUUCGGGUUGUAAAGUACUUUCAGCGGGGAGGAAGGGAGUAAAGUUAAUACCUUUGCUCAUUGACGUUACCCGCAGAAGAAGCACCGGCUAACUCCGUGCCAGCAGCCGCGGUAAUACGGAGGGUGCAAGCGUUAAUCGGAAUUACUGGGCGUAAAGCGCACGCAGGCGGUUUGUUAAGUCAGAUGUGAAAUCCCCGGGCUCAACCUGGGAACUGCAUCUGAUACUGGCAAGCUUGAGUCUCGUAGAGGGGGGUAGAAUUCCAGGUGUAGCGGUGAAAUGCGUAGAGAUCUGGAGGAAUACCGGUGGCGAAGGCGGCCCCCUGGACGAAGACUGACGCUCAGGUGCGAAAGCGUGGGGAGCAAACAGG